rnacentral:rRNA from 1 species
AGCUCCAAGAGCGUAUAUUAAAGUUGUUGCAGUUAAAAAGCUCGUAGUUGGAUUUCUGGUACAAUGCGCCUGGCCCGCAAUUUGUGAGUGCCGGCGCGCGUUUGCCAUCCUUCUAGAAAACGUUUCUACCCGGGCAACUGGGCCGGACUCGCGAUCUAGAUCUUUUACUUUGAAAAAAUUAGAGUGUUUAAAGCAGGCUUUUGCUGUGAAUACAUUAGCAUGGAAUAAUAAUCUAGGACUUCGGUUCUAUUUUGUUGGUUUCUAGUACUGAAGUAAUGAUUGAUAGGGAUAGUUGGGGGUGCUAGUAUUGGCCGGCCAGAGGUGAAAUUCUUGGAUUCGGUCAAGACUAACUUAUGCGAAAGCAUUCACCAAGGAUGUCUUCUUUA